rnacentral:rRNA from 1 species
GCUAACUACGGGCCAGCAGCCGCGGUAAUACGUAGGGUGCGAGCGUUGUCCGGAAUUAUUGGGCGUAAAGAGCUCGUAGGCGGCUUGUCGCGUCGGAUGUGAAAGCCCGGGGCUUAACCCCGGGUCUGCAUUCGAUACGGGCAGGCUAGAGUUCGGUAGGGGAGAUCGGAAUUCCUGGUGUAGCGGUGAAAUGCGCAGAUAUCAGGAGGAACACCGGUGGCGAAGGCGGAUCUCUGGGCCGAUACUGACGCUGAGGAGCGAAAGCGUGGGGAGCGAACAGGAUUAGAUACCCCGGUAGUC